UCGGUUGAUCCUGCCGGAGGCUGCGGCUCUUUGGUUUCUCCUUAGAUAUGCAAGUCAGUUGAGAGACGGCGAACUGCUCAGUAACACGUAGUUAACUUAGCCUAUAGUCAUGAAUAGCCUCGGGAAACUGAGGGUAAAUCNUGAUAGGAAAUUUUUUCUGGAAUGAAUUUUUUCUGAAACUCGGGCUAUAGGAUAGGACUGCGGCUGAUUAGGUUGUUGGCGGGGUAAUGGCCCACCAAGCCAGUGAUCAGUAUGGGCCCUUAGCGGGGAUGCCCAGAGAGGGAAUCUGAGACACUAUUCCCAGCCCUACGGGGUGCAGCAAUCAAGGAUAUUCUGCAAUGCGCGAAAGCGUGACAGAGUGAGCCAAAGUGUAUUUCAAAUUGAAAUACUUUUGUGGAGUGUAAAAAACUCUGCGAAUAAGGACUGGGCAAGACGAGUGCCAGCCGCCGCGGUAAUACUCGCGGUCCAAGUCGCAGCCAUUUUUAUUGGGUCUAAAACAUCCGUAGCUUGCUUUGCAAGUCUCUUGUGAAAUCUGGCAUCUUAAAUGUCAGGCGGGCAAGAGGUACUACAAGGCUAGAGACAGGGAGACGUAAAGAGUACGGUCGAUGUAACGGUAAAAUGUGUUAAUCUUGAUCGGACUAACGAUAGCGAAGGCACUUUACGAGAACUGUUCUGACAGUAAGGGAUGAAGGCCAGGGGCGCAAAACGGAUUAGAUACCCGUGUAGUCCUGGCAGUAAACACUGCUCACUAAACAUUGGCAUCUCCUCGAGAGUUGUCAGUGCCGCAGGGAAGCCAUUAAGCCCGCCGCCUGGGGAGUACGGCCGCAAGGCUGAAACUUAAAGGAAUUGGCGG
rnacentral:rRNA from 1 species